rnacentral:rRNA from 1 species
CACGAAGGGGGCUAGCGUUGCUCGGAAUCACUGGGCGUAAAGGGUGCGUAGGCGGGUUUUUAAGUCAGGGGUGAAAUCCUGGAGCUCAACUCCAGAACUGCCUUUGAUACUGAAGAUCUUGAGUCCGGGAGAGGUGAGUGGAACUGCGAGUGUAGAGGUGAAAUUCGUAGAUAUUCGCAAGAACACCAGUGGCGAAGGCGGCUCACUGGCCCGGUACUGACGCUGAGGAGCGAAAGCGUGGGGAGCAAACAGG